GAAAGAAGUUAAGGGCGUAGAAUGGGGAAUAUAGAAGAGAAACUCCCAUCUGCAUCUAAUCUCAGGAUUCAGGCUGACUCAAAGGGGUUGUUAAUUGUUAUUUUACUCUCUAAUCAACUGUCUUCCUCUAUACACUACUGCUAUUCCUCUUUCACUUCUCCCUUUCCUCCAAGCCAUCGCCUCUCUAGGGUUCCUUUCAUCUCCAUCCAAAGUUUCCUCUUCCCCCUUAUUCCAAUUUUCUCUUCACACGAAAUUCACCUCUUUUUUAUUUAUCCAUUAAAAUUUAAUUCACAUAUCUAUAUUUCCAUCCAUUUAAUUACUCAUUAUAUUUCACAAUGAGGAUUUCUUGGUUUCUUAAGAGUCAAUUGCCUUGAUAUAGUUGCUUCAAAUUAUCCGAUCGGCUCUUUGUUGUUACUUCUUUGAGAGAAAUUGAAGAAAAUAUUGAUUUGGGGUAUUAUUUGUUUGUUAAAUCUGAGAAAAGAAUUAUUACUAUGGCUUCUACAGUACCGGCGAAGUCGAAUAAUCCACUUCAUAACUUCGAUUUUUCCCACUUGAAAUGGAAGAAGAAUCAUCAUUCGAACAAUCACCAACGUCGCCGCUCCAACAAGCUGUCGUCUGACUCUUCCUCUCCGUCACGGCACGAUUCGCCGCUAAGACAGUUUCAGUCCCAGUCCCCGAUGCGUGAAUCCCUCGCGGCGGCACGUCAGUCUCCAAUAAGUGAAUCUGCUGCGACGACGCGUCAAUCGCCGAUGCACAAUUCGGCUGCGGCGGCGCGUCACUCUCCGAUGCGCGAUUCUGCCGCGGCUUCUCGCCGGUCUCCGAUGCAUGAACCUAUAGCGGGGUUUCUCCGGUCUCCGAUGCGUGAAUCAGCACGUCAGUCUCCGAUGCACGAUUCUGCUACGGCGCAUCAGUCUCCGAUGCGUGAUCCUGUUCCGUCGAUUCAACGAUCAAAGCAUAAGGUACCAGAGAUUAAUGCUGUCAGUAGCAAAGAAAGCAGAUCCAAAAUCUUAAUCAAAAUCCCGCGCAAAAACAAACCUGAAGAAAUUCAAAUCAACGAGGAUCAAAAUCAAAAGGAGGCAGACGAAUCACACGACGAAGCUGCAGCAGCUGAGGAAACAGCACAAAAAACGUGGAAUCUGAGACCUCGAAAACCAAUACACAAAUCACUGAAUAUAAACGGAGGAGUUCCAUUUCGAUCCAGUGGAUCCGCGAUGCAGGAGAUCAAAUCUCAAUCACCUCAUCAGAUUAUGAACAUGAACAAGCCGGAAAAUAAUGAAACCCAUGCUGCUUCUGCUCAGAAGAAGGAAAAAAGGCAAAGGUUUUCCAUGGCCUUAUCCAGAGAAGAGAUCGAUGAAGAUAUAUAUGCUAUGACUGGAUUAAAAGCUGCUAGAAGACCUAAGAAGAGAAUUAAAGCUGUUCAGAAACAACUUGAUACACUCUUCCCUGGUUUAUGGCUUGCUUCAAUAACUCCUGAUUCAUAUAAAGUUUGUGAAAAUCUUCCAAAGGGUUAGAAGAAAUUCUUCAAAGGUGGUUUGUCCUUCGAAUGUCCUUGGUUUUUGUGGAAGUUUGAAGGUGAAGGCUUCCAAAUUUUAUGAUUUGCAUUUGGAGUUCAGGAAUAAUAUUUUCAGCCUUGUAACGGUAACUGUUAGAAAUGUUAUCGGAUGCAAUUCUCUUCUCCCAAAUGCAUUAUCUGAUUGGGAGGCUGGCAAUUGGCUAAGCUGAUAUGUGGAGGAGCUGCCAUUUUGACACGAACUAUCCCACUAAAUACAAGCUAUCUUAUCACUAUAUACCUGUUGAAGUAGGUCAGUGGGAGGUAAUAUGUCAUACGUAUAUAAUUAUUUGAUGAAUAUACACAAGCAGAAAGGUUUCAUUACUUUUUCACUGCUGCAUUUUUGGACUUCUCAACUAACCAAUGGUUUUAGACAGCUUUAAACUGACCUGGUUUGGCUGAGUUAAGUGGACAAGUUGUGAAGCUGAAGAACAUGUCCAGGUUCCACUGUGUAUCUUCUCAUAAUGGAGUUUGCUGCACAUCAUAGAGCCUAUAAUUUCUUUCCUUGCUUCCUGAUCAUAGGCGAGGAACCUGAACGAUUGGCUUGCAACACACUGUGCUGCUGUAUCAAAAGUCAUUACUUCAUCGCUUAAGGCGAUGUAACACAAGGGGUUAUUGCUUCAUGGUGAAGCUAUGUGCUUUAGGGAAGUUUGCGCUGCUUCAAACAUGAGUUACAAAGUAAUCCGAACGAGCAGUUAGUACUUUGAAUCUCAACUGUGAAGAGUUGGAUUAGUAUUGACAUUAUCAUAUAUUAGGCAUUAGAUGCUGAAAUUAGUUAUUUACCUACCAAUUUAUUGAUUAUUGUUUUACUAAAUUCAUAUAUGUUUGACAUAAUUUAA